GCCAUAUCACCCCAUUCUUCUUUCUCAACUCUUUUCCUCUCUACUCAUAUGAAACCCUAAGCCCCAAAUGCCAUUUGGAGCUUAUUGAGACAGAUUUGAGUUUGGAAAAUUGAUCAAGAGAUUUGGUCAAACUCUUUCACCUUAAGUUUAUUAGAAAUUUGGAGCCUAGAUUUGAGCAACCCAACUUCUAAGGGAAAGUUGAAGCCAUCUAACGCGUUGGUGAGUUAUAAGACUACUAGAGGUCGAGGAUUGGAGCUCAGCUAUAGGAACACUUCCGAUUAUCAAGAUGUUGAUCUGAUUUGUGGUGGAGUGUAGUUCCGUCCCCCUGUGACUAUGUGUGUGCCUGCAGACGGUGGCUUAUUCCUGCCUGCAGUACUUUAAUGCCAUCCGUUACGAUUAUUUCGAGUGAUGUUGACAUCGAAAGAUUACUCUAGUUGAUGAUUUGAUUCUUCACCACCUGCUUCGGCAUUACACGUGAUUUGUUCUCCGCCUGUUACUUUGGCACAUGCAUGGUUUGUUUCUCCGCCAAUAGCUUUGUAUUAACCAUGAUUUGA